UUGAAAUCUUUAAAUAUUGUAGGGAAUAAACUAAAAACAAUUAAAAAAUAAAUAAAUAAAAAAUAAAACAGUAAAAUUGUUAAGUUCCGUUAACAUAAAGGUGUAGUCAUGGUCAUAGGGGGGUAAUUCGCUAAUUAAUUGUGUACUAAAGUUCAUAUAGUGUAAUAAUAAUUACAUUACUUCAGCACUGUAUGGUAGAAAUGACUUGCAUAAUGGAAUGACGAAGUUACUAAUUAUAGCACUGAAUUGGACUAAAGGUUGUCCAAUGUAUCUGAACAAACAAUGCACCCACAUAUGCAAACAUAAAUUUCAGUGUUUCCAAAUCUCUUAUUUGAAACAUCACAGAAUAAAAACGAAAAGUUAGAAUCUAUAGCUACAGAUCUAAGUCUUCCAGAGGAAACUGGGGUUUCUGGUCCUAUUGCUUCCCUUUUGCUUCUUUCCCUUGUUUCUUUCUUUUGCAUGAAAACCUGGUAAAUAAAUUUAUAUAACCUAAACAAAACUCAAUCCUGUUUGAUGAAUAUUUCCAUAAGACCUGCCUUUCAGAAGCUGGAAGCAGGAAGAGCAGAUUUGCCACAUGAACGGCUGAACCUGAGUACUGGUAGAGUGAGCCAAAAUACCAAUAUUUUUUGGGUUGAAAAUUCUGAUAAUGUCUCAUAAUUGUUAAACUCGUCAUGAAUGUUCUUUAAAGUUAUGAUCAUUACUGCUGAAGUUGAUUGGAAGUUUAUUUUUGUUGAUGUAUUGUUUUCUUAUAUCUUAUGUCUUGGGGUGGAGUCGUGGCUCCUGGAAACCAUAUGGACUGUUAACGAGCAGGACUGUGAGAACUGGGGGAACUGACACCAUUUAAAUGCAAAGGUGAUGUCGUUAUUAUGCGUCUACAUGGAUAAUUGAUUCUGCAAUGACCAUGUUUCAAAUCUGCCACGUUUGGAUAUUGUGUAAACUGCCUUUCUUUUUAGCCAAUCUCUUUUAUUGUAUUGUCAGCGAUUUUGUACAAAUUUAAUUUACAGUGUUCGUUUGAUGGGUAAUAUUGGGAAAGGUAACAUGUCUAGUAUUGUUGUUCAUUGUCUAUAACAUAUUUACCUGUGAAUUCCUUGCAUAAGUAGAAAUAAUUCUUGGUGUUUGAUGGGGUAUUAGGUAUGAAAAAAUGUAGUGACUAGUGGGACUUUUGUGUAGUGGAGGAUAUGUAGAGGUGGUAAUAAUAUGACAUGAAAUAUGUUAAAUGAAAUGUAUAUCAUGCCACAUGGAAAAUCCUUAUGCGCAACUCGCAUGUGAGUUAUUAAGGGGACUUUAAAAUCGAAUAAUGGAGGCAUCCAAGAUUUCACUAUACAA